GCGAGGGUGGCGGAACUGGCAGACGCGCAAGAUUUAGGAUCUUGUACUGAACGGUGUGGGGGUUCGAUUCCCCCCCCUCGCACCA
rnacentral:tRNA from 1 species